rfam:Chelonia mydas contig254367, whole genome shotgun sequence.
UGCCCCAUGGUCUAGCGGUCAGGAUUCCUGGCUUUCACGCAGGCGGCCCGGGUUCAACUCCCGGUGUGGGAA